CUUUUCGUACACCAUACAGCUCAAGGAGCCGGUUGGGUCACUCACUGUACCAAAGUAGACUGCCAUACUUGAUUAGAGAUGUCUUCUAAAAAGCUUUCCUUCGCAGAAAACUUCGCUCUUAGUGGAGCUGCUGCCAUCAUUUCCAAAACUGCAGCUGCACCUAUUGAAAGAAUCAAGCUUUUGGUUCAGAAUCAAGAUGAAAUGCUCAAGGCUGGUCGUUUGAGUGAGCCAUACAAGGGUGUCAUUGACUGCACAGUCCGUACCUACAAAACUGAAGGAUUUCUUCCAUUCUGGAGAGGAAACAUGGCCAACUGUAUCCGAUAUUUCCCAACUCAGGCUCUUAACUUUGCCUUCAAGGACAAGAUCAAGCAGAUCUUCAAGGCCUCUGCUUCGUCUACUCCCUCGACUACUGCAGAACCCGUCUGGCUAAUGAUGCCAAGUCAGCUGGAAAAGGUGGCGGAGAACGUCAGUUCAACGGAAUGGUUGAUGUAUACAGAAAGACCAUUGCAUCCGAUGGAGUUGCUGGAUUAUACAGAGGUUUUGUCAUCUCCUGCGUAGGAAUCAUUGUCUACAGAGGUUGCUACUUCGGCUUUUAUGACACUUUACGACCAAUUCUCCUAGGAGACAAUGCUAGUGUCUUGUUAUCAUUUGCUCUUGGAUACGUGGUCACAAUUAGCGCUGGGCUGGUCUCCUACCCCAUCGAUACAAUCAGGAGACGUAUGAUGAUGACAUCCGGUGAGGCUGUCAAAUACAAGGGAUCAUUGGAUUGCGCUAUGGUCAUUAUCAAGAACGAGGGAUUCAUGAGCUUGAUGAAGGGAGCUGGAGCCAACAUUCUAAGAGGUGUAGCCGGCGCUGGUGUGCUCGCUGGAUUCGACAAAUUCCAAGCCCUCUACAUUGCCUGGCGUCUGGGCAACGAGAAGAAGUAGAUAUUGUGACUGUUUUAGUGAAAUUUUCAAUGAGUGAUAUAUUUUUACCUGGUUGAACAACAAAGACUGUUCUGUCAAUUAACACAAUUUUGCAAAAGAGUGUCUUGAGAGUAAUACAUGUUCUAUUCAGUAUUGUUGUGUUGACACAUUUCAUUACUUCAUGUUAACAUCAGUAAACCUGGAAAUGCAUUGUUAAUAAAAAUAAGUUAUUAGACAAC
rnacentral:misc_RNA from 1 species